GCCGGCGCUCCCUCCCUCGCUCGCGCUCCCUGUACGUCGCCGCGUUUACCAGCGCGUUUUGUUCCCCUGUCGGAUUCCCGGCCGAGGGGCUGUAACCGUGUUCUCCUCCGAUGGACGCUAAUCAAAAGAGACUGGGGCAGCAUGAAUGUGCUGGAAGAUUAGAGGCUGCUGAUGCUGAAGGAAGGAGAAACGAGGAGGAAGUGUCCCUGUGGACAAGUCAUCUCCCUUCAUUUAAGCCAGGCCAGUAGUCCGGGAGACAUUCUGAAUGAUGCAUUAUCCUAGGCACCAGAAAGUAUCUAACAUUCUCAUGGACAGCAGGGAAAAAUGAGCACAUGAGACAGGGGAAGAUUCCAGCACCUGUGAACAUGUUUGUGCAGGUUUCCAGUCAGUACAUGGAUAUCCCUCAAGCCUUUGAAUCCAGUCUCCUGUGUUGUGAUUGGACCGUUUGUCAUUAGGUUUCCAGUGGCAGAGUAAUGCUGUGGGAGAACUGGCUACGAUGGCCGCAGGAGGUGAAUUAAGUAUUGUUGUGUUUUUAGUAGAACCACUAAAGGAAGAUCUGCAGGCAAGUUGGAUGAGUAUAAGAGCCAAAGAUUGACAAGACUUCCUCAGAUGCUCCUACUGACCAGUGGGGGCACUUCUACAGCUCCCCGAAUAUGUUCUCCCUGCAACCCCCACCACUUUUUAAUUAAAUGGCCAGAACUGCCUUUUUGUAUCAAAACUUAUUUUAGUCUAUCAAUCAAAGGCUUCUAUAGCCCACCUCAUGGCAAAGGAUAUCAGAGAGGUAAAAGAUAAUUGUUUUGACAUAUUUAUUAUCACAACUAGCGACUCUUUCUGCAUUCACAUUGGCUGGUAUGCAGAAAAGGGUGCUUUACAGGAUUCUUGGAAAUGUGUAGUGGAUGCUGGCUCUAGGGGAGGCAGAAUAGAGUGUGGGUUCUGCCAUGGGUCACAUCCGGGUUUUAAUUCUGCCUCUGCCACAUGACCUUGAGCACACUGGAAAACCCUAUUAGAUGUGCAAGAAGGCUUCCCCAUCUGUAAAGGUGGGUGACUUAGCAACUUUAGCAAUGCUUAAGUCACCCGGUUGUUGUGAGUAAUACAUAAGUUAAUGUAUGCUAACUUUCUAGAAAGUUUCCUGGCACAAAGUUGUAUUUAAUAAAUGAUUUUUAAAACAA
ensembl:lncRNA LINC00237 long intergenic non-protein coding RNA 237